rnacentral:rRNA from 1 species
AUUGAACGCUGGCGGCAGGCCUAACACAUGCAAGUCGAACGAGUGGCGGACGGGUGAGUAAUGUCUGGGAAACUGCCCGAUGGAGGGGGAUAACUACUGGAAACGGUAGCUAAUACCGCAUACCAUCGGAUGUGCCCAGAUGGGAUUAGCUAGUAGGUGGGGUAACGGCUCACCUAGGCGACGAUCCCUAGCUGGUCUGAGAGGAUGACAGACCAAAUGGGAACUGGACAACGGCCCAGACUCCUACGGAGGGCGGCAGUGGGGAAUAUUGGACAAUGGGGGCAAGCCUGAUGCAGCCAUGCCGCUUGUAUGAAGAGGGCCUUCGGGUUGUAAAGUACUUUCAGCGAGGAGGCGUUACUCGCAGAAGAAGCAACGGCUAACUCCGUGCCAGCAGCCGCGGUAAUUC